rnacentral:rRNA from 1 species
CACGGGUGAAGCCGGGCACUCUGGACGGGACUGCCAUCGACAAGAUGGAGGAAGGUGGGGAUGACGUCAAGUCAUCAUGGCCCUUAUGUCCAGGGCGACACACGUGCUACAAUGGCCGGCACAGCGGGAAGCGAGGCAGUGAUGCCAAGCGGAUCCCUUAAAGCCGGUCUCAGUUCGGAUUGAAGUCUGCAACUCGACUUCAUGAAGCUGGAAUCGCUAGUAAUCGCAGAUCAGCCAAGCUGCGGUGAAUACGUUCCCGGGCCUU